GCAAGCCAGCGUUCUGAGAAAAUGAAGGACUCAUGUUCAGUCUGUCAGCCCCACUGGCUCAGGAGGGACCGCGAAAACGGAAAGCCUCGACAAGAGCAAACCCGGUCAGAAGCGCGAUGCUGGCCAAUGGAUUUUGGCUUGGUACUCCCCACCAACGCAAGAAACCCAAUGGACUGUAAAUUCCUCGCACAGGACCAGUGAAGCCAAACAAGUUGGGAACAUUCUCAGGACCAUAUCUGCUUUAGGCCGAACCGCUCGCUCUGGCCGUCGGGUCCUGUGCAGUGAUGCAUCCUGGGAGCCUGUGGAUGAAGCCCGUCCCUGACAGACAGUGUUUUCUGAGGCUGAUGCUAUGCGGGCAUUUCCUGCUUCAGUUCAGCAGUUCCUGUUGAUCACACGCACAAUGGUAUCAUCAGAAGACAGGCAGUUUCAGCAUGACUGGGCCUUCCAAACAGGGAAGAAAACAGUGUACAGGUGAAAACUCUGGUUCUGAAUUUUCCCUUUAGCAGAGCUAAGGAAAAUAACAACGGAAAUUCCCUUAAUAUAAUAAACUCAUAAAAUAAAAUAAUACCCACAUUGGCCAAU